UACGUAGGGCGCAAGCGUUGUCCGGAUUUAUUGGGCGUAAAGAGCUCGUAGGCGGUUCGUUACGUCGGCUGUGAAAACCCGAGGCUCAACCUCGGGCCUGCAGUCGAUACGGGCGGACUAGAGUGCGGUAGGGGAGACUGGAAUUCCUGGUGUAGCGGUGAAAUGCGCAGAUAUCAGGAGGAACACCGGUGGCGAAGGCGGGUCUCUGGGCCGUAACUGACGCUGAGGAGCGAAAGCGUGGGGAGCGAACAGG
rnacentral:rRNA from 1 species